rnacentral:lncRNA from 1 species
UUUUAUUCGUGAGAAACUGUCUCAAGGUGAAGUUAAUCUUGUUAAAAUUCACACUGAAAGGAAUCCCUCUGAUGUGGGAACAAAAAUUCUACCUGCAGGUAAAUUUAAAUUUGUGCUUAUCUUUAUUACAUAUUGACACUGGUUAAUUUUUCUUGCAGGUAGUCGGCGAUGAUGAUGAACAGUUCUUCCAUGUGCAAAUUCGCAACCAAGAGAGAGUAUUAUGAGAACCAAGGUGAAGAAUGUGAGAAUAUGGUUCUCUUAACUCCAUUAGACUUAAGUGCUAUUUGUGUAAUUCACAUGGAUUGUGCUUGUCUAGUUUUAUUAUGGACCAUUGGAUGGGAUCGACGGCUGAGAUUUAAUCUAUUUGAGAUAUUUUUGUUGCCUUGUCUUGGGGGAGAAGUUUUGACUUGAAAGUUACCACAAAAGGGGCUUCCCCCACGUUUUUGCAACACAGGUCUUUUCUCUCUUCUCCAGUCGACCACUCUCUCCAUUUUGCACCUUCUGCUUGGUAGAAGGUUGAGGGUGCGUUGGUGGCGGUUUCUA